GGUGGCUAAGUGGUAGAGUGCUUGCCUUGCAUGCAUGAGGCCCUGGGUUCGGUUCUCAGCACCA
rnacentral:tRNA from 1 species